UAGAUUGAAGCCAGUUGAUUAGGGUGUUUCGCUGUUAACUAAAUUUUCAUGGAUUUGAAUUCCAGCAAUCUAG
rfam:Papio anubis isolate 1X1155 chromosome 2, whole genome shotgun sequence.